GCCUCGGUAAAUGAGUGGCAGGGCACUGGACUUGUAAACCAGUGGUCGUGAGUUCAAUCCUCAUAGGAGGCA